rnacentral:misc_RNA from 1 species
AUGAAAAUAAGAAGAUAAAUAUAUCACUGAUGAUUACAAAGUAGUGAGUGAUUUUAGCAAUGGAAAUCUGGUUUAUCGUUGUUGUUACUCUCUGUGUAGCUUUCUGGUUGAAAUCCAUUUGUAAUAUUAUUGUCUCUCCAAAUUCCAAUACCAAGAGAAACCUCCCGCCGGGACCCUACAGUUUUCCGGUGAUCGGUAGUUUAUUAUGGGCCAAACGGACCUUCUCCGACUUGGAACCCAUCCUCCGUGACCUUAAAGCUAAGUAUGGUCCGCUGAUUACCCUAAAUAUUGGGUCUCGUUCAGCCAUAUUCGUAGCUAGCCACUCCUUAGCCUACCAAGCUUUAGUCCAGCAAGGUGCUAUUUUCUCUAACCGGCCAAAGGCUGGGCCUACCAGUGCAGUCGUCAAUAGUAACCAGCGGAACAUCAGCUCCGCCCCUUACGGCCCUAUAUGGCGUCUACUCCGUCGAAAUUUGACUUCAGAAAUACUCCACCCAUCUCGUAUCAAGUCAUAUUCCAAGGCCAGAUCUUGGGUGCUGGGUAUCCUCAUUCAACAGCUCCGUAACGCCCAAGUUGAUUCUGUGAAGUUAAUUGAUCAUUUUCAG